AGCGAACGCUGGCGGUAUGCUUAACACAUGCAAGUCGAGCGCGAAAGUGACUUCGGUCAUGAGUAGAGCGGCGGACGGGUGAGUAACACGUGGAUAAUCUGCCUUUAGGACUGGGAUAACCCUGGGAAACUAGGGCUAAUACCGGAUAAGACCACAGGUUCCAUGGAACCAGGGGUAAAAGGCGGCCUUCGGGCUGUCGCCGAAAGAUGAGUCCGCGUCCCAUCAGGUAGUUGGUGAGGUAACGGCUCACCAAGCCGAAGACGGGUAGCCGACCUUAGCGGGUGAUCGGCCACACGGGGACUGAGACACGGCCCCGACUCCUACGGGAGGCAGCUGGUGGGGAAUCUUGGGCAAUGGGCGCAAGCCUGACCCAGCAAUACCGCGUGAGGGAUGAA
rnacentral:rRNA from 1 species